rnacentral:snRNA from 1 species
ACGAUGGUGAUGAACCCAA